GGUGUAUAGUUCUGCCACCUUUGUAAAUGUUCGGCCGACAGUGUCCAUGUUAUCCGUGAAUCUAAUAAAUUGACUGGAUCUGUUGUCUGGCUCUCCGUAUGACACCUUCUAGCGCGAUGUUGAACAACAGGCACGAAAGUCCAUCACCUUGUCUUAGUUCCCGGCGCGAUUCGAACGAACAGGAGUGUUCGCCCGAAAUCUUCACACAGUUUUGCAUACCACCCACCGUUGCUUUGAUCAGUCUGGUAAGCUUCCCAGGGAAGCUGUUCUCGUCCAUAAUUUUCAAAAGCUCUAUGCGGUCUAUACUGUCGUACGCCGCCUUGAAAUCCAUGAAUAGAUGGUGCGUUGGGACCUGGUAUUCACGGCAUUUUUGAAGGAUUUGCCGUGCAGUAAUGAUCUGGUCCGUUGUCGAGCGGCCGUCAACGAAGCCGGCUUGAUAACUUCCCAUGAACUUAUUCACUAAUGGUGACAGACGACGAAAGAUAAUCUGGGAUAUCACUUUGUAGGCGGCAUUGAGGAUGGUGAUCGCUCGAUUUUCUCACACUCCAGCUUGUCGCCUUUCUUGUAGAUGGGGAACAUAACCCCUUCUUCCACUCCUCCGGUAGCUGUUCAGUUUCCCAGAUUCUGGCUAUCAGUUUGCGCAGGCAAGUGGCCAGCUUUUCCGGGCCCAUCUUGGCUUAAUACCCGAAAUAUAGGCAAUCAACUUUAAAUGUACCUACCUACUGAAGUUGUACUGUCCAACAAUCGUAGCUACUACUUGGCCACAGAGGCUCCGACUUUACCCGGACCGAAACAAAUUUCCUGGGGGCGGAAUCAAAGUUGUACAACAUAUCGGAGCGUGUAUGGGGCCCCUUAGGAGAAAUUCAUAUCAUAUAGAGAGGUGGACCAUUUGGACAGCAGGCAUUUCAGUUGUCAUGUGUCCAAGUGAAACAUUGGAGACGAGUAUAAGGGAUGCUGUCUGAAUAAUCCUUCUUUCUAUUUCAACUAAUUGAAAUUUGUCAGCUGGAUAGUUCCCACAAUGAUUAUAAAUUAUAAUAUCAAAUAAUUGUACAACUGUGAAGCUCAAAUUCAUGCAAAUACGUAUUUGUCACUUCCACAUACUUGCUUCUGAAUCAUUCAAAUGGUGUACACAACAUAUAAGGACAAGAGAUGAAAAAUCAAUCUGUUAAAAAACGAAAAUCCAUUGAUACAAAACAGUACCCUAAAAUAAAUUGAAAACCUGUUUCUUCCCCAUCUUCCUGAAGAAAAAAAAAACAAAUUUGAAGAAAAAGUAAUAUGAAAAAUUGCUAGUAAAACAAUGGUAAUGAAGAUACAUUACAUUAGUUUGUAAAAUAUUCCACAAAAUGACAUGAGAACAGAAAGAUAAAAAAAAACCUUGCUAAGAGUAAGUAUUGGGACCAUCAAGAAGGCAGGAGAAACAAUCAGAAGUUAGCACUGACAACAGCACGAACAGUAUCGGCACGAUAUUUCUGAAAGAAGGGUAAUUAUAGACAAAUUGAUCAC